UUUGGCAAUAAUAGUGCAAUAGGCCCACCUGAUUCCAUGCCGAACUCAGAAGUGAAAUAUUGUAACGCCGAUGGUAGUGUGGGGAUUCCCCAUGUGAGAGUAGGACAUUGCCAAUC
rfam:Rodentibacter heylii strain 1998236014 contig_5, whole genome shotgun sequence.